rnacentral:misc_RNA from 1 species
GCUUCUUUAUGCUUGGUACUUCCCCAUCGGCCUUUUGCAAGGCAUGAUGUCUAGGGACUUGGUGCACUCUUCUAUAAUGGAUUCAUCAUCAUUACUUUGUUUCUCCUCCUUAAAGGUCCCAUGGUUAGAAGAUAUGGUAGACCUUACAUUAAUGGCAUGGGUCUCUUCUAGGGAGUUAUUGGCUGGUGCCCCCUAACACCUUUGGUGCAUCUUUUCUGUAAGGAGCUAAAUUGGACUCAUCAUAGUGUUGGAUGUGUAUAUGUGUAGGUACCUUGGUGUUCCUAGGAGGUACCAUAUGAUGAGCACAAGUGUGGAGGAAUCUUGUGUAACGCCCUCACCGUAGGUAGU